AGUGAACGCUGGCGGUAGGCCUAACACAUGCAAGUCGAACGUCAGCACAGUAAAUGCUUGCUCUUACGGGUUGCGAGUGACUGACGGGUAGGUAAUACAUCGGAAUCUCCUUUUUCGUGGGGCGUAACGUUGGCUAACUUACGCUAAUACCGCAUACUCCGUACUUGUGAUAUCCGGGGAUCUUCGCCUCUUGCGCGAUUUUCUUAGCCGAUUUCGGAUUCGUUAGUUGGCGGGGUAAAGGCCGACCAAGGCGACGAUCCGUAGCUGGUCUGAGAGGAUGAUCAGCAACACGGGAACUGAGAAACGGCCAAGACUCCAACGGGAGGCAGAAGUGGGGAAUAUUGGAAAAUGGGCGAAAGCUUGAGCAAGACAGACCGCGUGGGUGAAGAAGGCCUUCGGGUUUUAAAGCCCGUUUGUUGGGAAAGAAAAGCAGCAGGUUAAUACCCCGAGGAUCUGACGGUACCAAAAGAAGAAGCACCGGCUAACUUCGUG
rnacentral:rRNA from 1 species